AUAACAGAGGAAGGAUUUGACUGAUUGCAACCUCUUUGUACACAUUAAAUUGUUCCUAUUUUAAAAAAACAAUUCGGUACAAGCAAAAAUGCUAAAGGCAGUGUA
rfam:Algibacter alginicilyticus strain HZ22 chromosome, complete genome.